AUCAUCAUUUCACCAAUCCGUGCUUAAUGAGGAUAAAUCAGACGGACACAGGAUGGGGUUCUGCUGCUCUCCGAGGGGAUAUUUUAAACCACUCCUCCACGGGUGCAGGUCUGUGCGAUGGAAACAGGGGAGACGAGGGGAGACCGGGCCUGCCGGGGCCUUAUUGCAGCACAUGGUGAGGCUGAAGGGAGAAGCCUGAUCUGGGUUUAUCUGAUCACGCUGAUCUGAUUAUG
rnacentral:lncRNA from 1 species